GGUUCCAUAGAGUAGCGGUUAGCAUGUCUGCUUUACACACAGAAGGUCCUGGGUUCGUGCCCCAGUGAAGGCA
rnacentral:tRNA from 1 species